rnacentral:lncRNA from 1 species
CAGUUCAUUUGGAAUCAGGAACUCAAAAGUGAUUGCCUGGAGAAGCAUUCAUAUCUCUGUGCAAUGAAAGCUCAUCCAGGAUUGGUUCAGAAGUGCUUCUUUCAUGAAGUCCUCCCUGAUUUGACUCUGACUCCCAAACCUCAGCCAAAAGAAUCAUGAAGCUAGGAUUCUCCUCUCCCUCCAGCACGACUUCUCCUAUACUCCUCGUCCCUCCUCCACCU